CCCAGCUGCCCGGGCCCGGGGCGCUCAGCAGACGUGGUUGUACUCUUCCCGCCUUGCUUUUCUUUUCUUGGUUUCAGUCCCUGGUUUUGCAAGCAAUUCCUCGUUCCCGCUCCCACCGUAUCUGGUAUGUAGAAGAGAGAGACAAAGAAACGCGGAGGCUCAGGAAGGUUGGUUGCCCACCUCUUCUUUCCACCACAGAAUUCUGCCUCUAGAAAAGCAGGGGGAAGAGUAGCCACGCAAAGGAUCUAGGCACAUAAUCGAAAUAGUGUGGCAAUCCCUACAGCAGAAUGUAAAUCCCUUGGAGGUGACCCGAGUCUUCCUCAUCCAAGUUUACUCCUCGCCCACACAGAGCACGUGAUAAGGAGCCUCAGUUCCAUAGGCUGCCUGGCAGACUGGCUGAAUGAAGACAUCAAUCGGAAACCUUUCCCAAGGAACUCCUAUUCUUGAAAGCAGACACAUUUACCUGCCACUGCCCCAGGACUGAAUCACACGCUGUCACAGAGCAUCUUGUAUUUUUGAAAGAGUUCUUCUCUUGGCCAGGCCGUGACAUGCACAACCUUGGAGGUACCACAAUGCUCUACCUUAUCCUGGGUACAGAAAAGAUGCAUAACAGAUGAAAAGAUUUACUUGAAACCUCCCGGGGAGCAGCUGUGGUUCAGGGAGUUUCUGCUUCAUGCUUUUGAUCCUGGGACCCUCUGAGAAUGAGCUGGAAGCUGCUGUGACUCCCUCCCCAGUAUCUUAAGCCAGUAGCCUGCCCCCUGGCAGCAUGGGGCCAGCACCAAGGAGAAUGGAUCCCUGGCACUCACUUAUCCAGACUCUGUCCUGAAUGUCUAGCGUCCACCCAUCGUAUGAUCUGCUUCCCUGCCUGUUCCUGACCUCAUCAGCUCCUGACCCCCAGACUGGCAACUCCCCAAGAGCAGGGACGCUCUUUUCCCCAGCACCUGGGGCAGUCCCACCACAUAGUGGUGCUCAGGAAAUAGUGGUUGAGGGGAUGGACGGAUGAACUGGAGUCAUAAAGGCCUGGGGCUGGCCACAAGAAAGGGAAUUGUUUUUCCUAGAACCUACCUUUCCUAAGACAGACACUGUGGAUACCAACGAUGUGGCAAAUGACAGGACUGAGACAAGGGGUGAAAUUCCAGGAAGAAGACGACCUGAAAAGUUGGCAUGAUGCUAUAGCUUUAUAUGUGAGAUGGUUUUGGAGGAAAACACUGGACCCUGUAAUUAUUUCCACAAAGUAUAUAGCACAGGAUAACACACUCAUAGAUGAUUUUAGAUCUAAAUCUCUUCCACUUGCUUUUAUGAAACAGAAGCCUCUCACCUGGGUGAAUGGGAAGACCUACUGAGCUGUUUUGGAAGAGAAAGGCCAGAACUACAUUAAAUCAUGCAGAAAGCGACCAGUGGGCCCUGUAAUGUUCAAGUCAUCAAUACGGCCAUCGACCCCCAGGAGACUUAUGGAGGGUCCUGGUCCUCAGGCUCAGAAUGCCCUGAGAUAUUGAUACAAAUGGCCAGAGAGAGAUCAUUGGCCCAAGGUCACACAGUAAGGGGUUGAUGCUGGUAUUUUCAUCCCGUCUAUCUGAUGACAAAGUUAUCCCCCGACAGCACUGGGGCAUUACCGAAAGAACAGAAUCUGUCAGGACAAAUACGUGAGCUGCCAUUUGGAGCUUUGGGGAGAAGGGAGCCACAUCAGCCAGUAGGUUUUUCGUUGUGGGAAAGAGUCAGCAUCCUCGGGUUGUCCCCUUGACCCAAACCCACUCGACCCUCAGGCACUGACCAUGUUAUUCCAGAGAGCGAUGGCCAUCUCAGCAUGCCCGCGUUCUGAGAAGUGGAAACAGUCCUCGGAGAAGAAGUGCAUCUAAGUUCAAGUUAUACUCAGAAAAGGUGGGUGCAGGGGAAAGGAGGAAAAGCAGAAACAGCAACCCUUUGGGAGCGCUCUUGGAGAGAGAUGGUCCAAAGAAGCCCAUGUAGAAAAGGAAAUACAUCGCCUGAGAUACGGCCUCUGCACACGCACCUCCCAGACACGCCCGCAACUUACCUCAUUCAGGGGGACAAGAGUGUUUUGGAAGAAAGGCUGCACAACCACGGCGAAGUCCUCACGCUGCAGUUCCUUUGGAUUUCCACACCAUUCCCCAUCUCCUCACUUCUCCCGCUUGCAACAAAACAGGACGGGGGAGACAAAUACGGACAGGACUAGUUCUUCCUUCACCUCCUAGAUACCUGCCAUGAACGAGGAAUUGAAUGUUUCUGGAUAAGAGACAGUCUUGAUGUGAAGAGCCGUGCUCUGGGAGUUACAGGACCAGGAGUCCCCUUCCAGCUCUGCUACCAACGAGCCGUGGAGCUCACCCAAGUUACUGGAUCCUGCUAGCCUUGAAUUUUUUCAUUUUUUAAACAAAGAGCCAAGACUAGAUGACUUUUGGGGUCCCUUCCGGGUCUGCAUCUGUCUGUAUUUAGCCUGCCCGGUUCACAUUUUAUACCUUUCUCUUCUCUUAGUUGUGCUCCAAAGAACAAAAUCAUUUCAGUCUGCAAUGUUGACUGAAAUACACAACAUAUACAACACUGUUUUUUUCCCCAAAAAUUAUAUCCUGUUGGUUUAGGCUUCUUAACUAGAAAGCAAGCUCUUUAUAGGCAGGCAGUUCACUUUUUGAUUCUUUUGUAUCUUUUAGUAACCAUCUUGGGGCUCAGUCCUUCCCAGCUGUUCAGUGAAUUCUUGCUUAUUGAUGGAUGGAAAGGAAGUUCGAUCUUGAAUAAAACUUUGAAACAAAA